rnacentral:rRNA from 1 species
UACGAAGGGGGCUAGCGUUGCUCGGAAUCACUGGGCGUAAAGCGCACGUAGGCGGCUUUUUAAGUCAGGGGUGAAAUCCUGGAGCUCAACUCCAGAACUGCCUUCGAUACUGCGGGUCUCGAGUCCGGGAGAGGUGAGUGGAAUUCCUAGUGUAGAGGUGAAAUUCGUAGAUAUUAGGAAGAACACCAGUGGCGAAGGCGGCUCACUGGCCCGGUACUGACGCUGAGGCGCGAAAGCGUGGGGAGCAAACAGGG